rnacentral:rRNA from 1 species
CCUACGGGCGGCAGCAGUGAGGAAUAUUGGUCAAUGGACGAGAGUCUGAACCAGCCAAGUAGCGUGAAGGAUGACUGCCCUAUGGGUUGUAAACUUCUUUUAUCAAGGAAUAAAACGCGGCACGUGUGCCUUUUUGCAUGUACCUUAUGAAUAAGGAUCGGCUAACUCCGUGCCAGCAGCCGCGGUAAUACGGAGGAUCCGAGCGUUAUCCUGAUUUAUUGGGUUUAAAGGGAGGGUAGAUGGUUGUGUAAGUCAGUUGUGAAAGUAUGCGGCUCAACCGUAAAAUUGCCUUUGAUACUGGCAGUCUUGAGUACAGGUGAGGUAGGCGGAAUGCGUGGUGUAGCGGUGAAAUGCUUAGAUAUCACGAAGAACCCAGAUUGCGAAGGCAGCGUACUAGAGUGAGACUGACACUGAGGCUCGAAAGUGUGGGUAUCAAACAGGAUUAGAUACCCGAGUAGUC